rnacentral:rRNA from 1 species
AGAGUUUGAUCAUGGCUCAGAUUGAACGCUGGCGGCAUGCCUUACACAUGCAAGUCGAACGGCAGCACGGGUGCUUGCACCUGGUGGCGAGUGGCGAACGGGUGAGUAAUAUAUCGGAACGUACCCUAGAGUGGGGGAUAACGUAGCGAAAGUUACGCUAAUACCGCAUACGAUCUACGGAUGAAAGUGGGGGAUCGCAAGACCUCAUGCUCAUGGAGCGGCCGAUAUCUGAUUAGCUAGUUGGUGGGGUAAAAGCCUACCAAGGCGACGAUCAGUAGCUGGUCUGAGAGGACGACCAGCCACACUGGAACUGAGACACGGUCCAGACUCCUACGGGAGGCAGCAGUGGGGAAUUUUGGACAAUGGGGGCAACCCUGAUCCAGCAAUGCCGCGUGAGUGAAGAAGGCCUUCGGGUUGUAAAGCUCUUUUGUCAGGGAAGAAACGGGAUUUUCUAAUACAAAGUCCUAAUGACGGUACCUGAAGAAUAAGCACCGGCUAACUACGUGCCAGCAGCCGCGGUAAUACGUAGGGUGCAAGCGUUAAUCGGAAUUACUGGGCGUAAAGCGUGCGCAGGCGGUUGUGCAAGACAGAUGUGAAAUCCCCGGGCUCAACCUGGGAAUUGCAUUUGUGACUGCACGGCUAGAGUGUGUCAGAGGGGGGUAGAAUUCCACGUGUAGCAGUGAAAUGCGUAGAGAUGUGGAGGAAUACCGAUGGCGAAGGCAGCCCCCUGGGAUAACACUGACGCUCAUGCACGAAAGCGUGGGGAGCAAACAGGAUUAGAUACCCUGGUAGUCCACGCCCUAAACGAUGUCUACUAGUUGUCGGGUCUUAAUUGACUUGGUAACGCAGCUAACGCGUGAAGUAGACCGCCUGGGGAGUACGGUCGCAAGAUUAAAACUCAAAGGAAUUGACGGGGACCCGCACAAGCGGUGGAUGAUGUGGAUUAAUUCGAUGCAACGCGAAAAACCUUACCUACCCUUGACAUGUACGGAACUUACCAGAGAUGGUUUGGUGCUCGAAAGAGAACCGUAACACAGGUGCUGCAUGGCUGUCGUCAGCUCGUGUCGUGAGAUGUUGGGUUAAGUCCCGCAACGAGCGCAACCCUUGUCAUUAGUUGCUACGAAAGGGCACUCUAAUGAGACUGCCGGUGACAAACCGGAGGAAGGUGGGGAUGACGUCAGGUCCUCAUGGCCCUUAUGGGUAGGGCUUCACACGUCAUACAAUGGUACAUAUAGAGGGCCGCCAACCCGCGAGGGGGAGCUAAUCCCAGAAAGUGUAUCGUAGUCCGGAUUGUAGUCUGCAACUCGACUACAUGAAGUUGGAAUCGCUAGUAAUCGCGGAUCAGCAUGUCGCGGUGAAUACGUUCCCGGGUCUUGUACACACCGCCCGUCACACCAUGGGAGCGGGUUUCACCAGAAGUAGGUAGCCUAACCGCAAGGAGGGCGCUUACCACGGUGGGAUUCGUGACUGGGGUGAAGUCGUAACAAGGUA